CGCGGGAUUGACGGGGCGGGGGCACGGGGGGACGGGGCGCAGCAGGCGCGAAAACUUUACAAUGCGGGAAACCGUGAUAAGGGGACACCGAGUGCUAGCAUCAUAUGCUGGCUGUCCAGGUGUGUAAAAUACACCUGUUAGCAAGGGCCGGGCAAGACCGGUGCCAGCCGCCGCGGUAACACCGGCGGCCCGAGUGGUGAUCGUGAUUAUUGGGUCUAAAGGGUCCGUAGCCGGUUUGGUCAGUCCUCCGGGAAAUCUGACAGCUCAACUGUUAGGCUUUCGGGGGAUACUGCCAGACUUGGAACCGGGAGAGGUAAGAGGUACUACAGGGGUAGGAGUGAAAUCUUGUAAUCCCUGUGGGACCACCUGUGGCGAAGGCGUCUUACCAGAACGGGUUCGACGGUGAGGGACGAAAGCUGGGGGCACGAACCGGAUUAGAUACCCGGGUAGUCCCAGCCGUAAACGAUGCUCGCUAGGUGUCAGGCAUGGCGCGACCGUGUCUGGUGCCGCAGGGAAGCCGUGAAGCGAGCCACCUGGGAAGUACGGCCGCAAGGCUGAAACUUAAAGGAAUUGGCGGGGGAGCACAACAACGGGUGGAGCCUGCGGUUUAAUUGGACUCAACGCCGGACAACUCACCGGGGACGACAGCAAUAUGUAGGCCAGGCUGAAGACCUUGCCUGAAUCGCUGAGAGGAGGUGCAUGGCCGUCGCCAGUUCGUACUGUGAAGCAUCCUGUUAAGUCAGGCAACGAGCGAGACCCGUGCCCACUGUUACCAGCAUAUCCUCCGGGAUGAUGGGUACUCUGUGGGGACCGCCGGUGUUAAAUCGGAGGAAGGUGCGGGCCACGGUAGGUCAGUAUGCCCCGAAUUUCCCGGGCUACACGCGGGCUACAAUGAAUGGGACAAUGGGUCCCUCCCCUGAAAAGGGCUGGUAAUCUCACAAACCCAUCCUUAGUUCGGAUCGAGGGCUGUAACUCGCCCUCGUGAAGCUGGAAUCCGUAGUAAUCGCGUUUCAAUAUAGCGCGGUGAAUACGUCCCUGCUCCUUGCACGAAUUCGCCGAAUCACUAGU
rnacentral:rRNA from 1 species